rnacentral:snRNA from 1 species
AUCAUCUCUCUUCCAUAUUCU